AACCUUCUGUAUCCUUGCUGAGAUUUCGUCACACCAGACCACAAGGGCUGAUGAGACUUCCAAGAUAAGUGAAGCG
rnacentral:pre_miRNA from 1 species